rnacentral:rRNA from 1 species
UGCUUACACAUGCAGUCGAACGCUGAAGCCUGGUGCUUGCACCGGGUGGAUGAGUUGGCGAACGGGUGAGUAACACGUGAGUAACCUGCCCCUGACUUCGGGAUAAGCCCGGGAAACUGGGUCUAAUACCGGAUACGACUGCCGGACGCAUGUCUGGUGGUGGAAAGUUUUUUCGGUUGGGGAUGGGCUCGCGGCCUAUCAGUUUGUUGGUGAGGUAAUGGCUCACCAAGACGACGACGGGUAGCCGGCCUGAGAGGGCGACCGGCCACACUGGGACUGAGACACGGCCCAGACUCCUACGGGAGGCAGCAGUGGGGAAUAUUGCACAAUGGGGGAAACCCUGAUGCAGCGACGCAGCGUGCGGGAUGACGGCCUUCGGGUUGUAAACCGCUUUCAGCAGGGAAGAAGCGCAAGUGACGGUACCUGCAGAAGAAGUACCGGCUAACUACGUGCCAGCAGCCGCGGUAAUACGUAGGGUACGAGCGUUGUCCGGAAUUAUUGGGCGUAAAGAGCUCGUAGGUGGUUGGUCACGUCUGCUGUGGAAACGCAACGCUUAACGUUGCGCGUGCAGUGGGUACGGGCUGACUAGAGUGCAGUAGGGGAGUCUGGAAUUCCUGGUGUAGCGGUGAAAUGCGCAGAUAUCAGGAGGAACACCGGUGGCGAAGGCGGGACUCUGGGCUGUAACUGACACUGAGGAGCGAAAGCAUGGGGAGCGAACAGGAUUAGAUACCCUGGUAGUCCAUGCCGUAAACGUUGGGCACUAGGUGUGGGGGGCAUUCCACGUUCUCCGCGCCGUAGCUAACGCAUUAAGUGCCCCGCCUGGGGAGUACGGUCGCAAGGCUAAAACUCAAAGGAAUUGACGGGGGCCCGCACAAGCGGCGGAGCAUGCGGAUUAAUUCGAUGCAACGCGAAGAACCUUACCAAGGCUUGACAUACACCGGACCGUCCUGGAAACAGGUCCUCUUCUUUGAAGCUGGUGUACAGGUGGUGCAUGGUUGUCGUCAGCUCGUGUCGUGAGAUGUUGGGUUAAGUCCCGCAACGAGCGCAACCCUCGUUCUAUGUUGCCAGCAUGUGAUGGUGGGAACUCAUAGGAGACUGCCGGGGUCAACUCGGAGGAAGGUGGGGAUGACGUCAAAUCAUCAUGCCCUUUAUGUCUUGGGCUUCACGCAUGCUACAAUGGCUGGUACAGAGAGAGGCGAACCCGUGAGGGCAAGCGAAUCCCUUAAAGCCAGUCUCAGUUCGGAUCGUAGUCUGCGAAUUCGACUACGUGAAGUCGGAGUCGCUAGUAAUCGCAGAUCAGCAACGCUGCGGUGAAUACGUUCCCGGGCCUUGUACACACCGCCCGUCAAGUCACGAAAAGUCGGUAACACCCGAAAGCCGGUGGCCUAACCGUAAGGAGGGGGCCGUCUAA